CGGAGUGAGGGGACAGAGGGGGUCGCUGCCCCGCGUAGAUCGGAAAGUGUCGUGAAGUAACUCAGGGAACUGCCGAGAACACGGUGCAGCGUUUCAGGUCAGCUACAGAAAGAAGUGUUUCUGCAGUCUUUUAAAGCAUCUCAACCCUAAUCUGAAGGCACCACCAUCUAGUGGGAUAAGAAGAGAGCCUGCGAUGGAAAAUUGCUCUGAGAGGUGCGGUUGUAUUUCUAGAAAGAGUCAGAAGUUGGGCAACAAUUGGAAAUUCUGCUGUUGUGGAAAUCACCUUAUCAAAGGGCUUUUAUGUUAAUGAAGUAUGAUGUAACUUUCUAGGACUGACAACCACCAAGCUUGGAUCCUGUCUCCAAAAAGAUGAUGCUAAGACUAACAGGAUAAAAAUGGCUUCUAAUGAGUGCAACUUUAUGUGAUUUGUUACCUUCCACCCUGUUUUUUUACUUAAAAUACAACCAGGUUUGACCACCUAUUGUUCUAGUUUUUCACAUCUUCACUCUGUUUGUAGGAAUGCCUGAACUAGAUAACAUGCUUGUCAUGGCCAUGGUGUUGAAAUGUGGGUUUCAAAUCUAUUGGAUGGCUCAGUUGCAUUAUCUUCAGAAGAGAGACUAAAACACAAACAUCUUAUAAAAAUCUCUAAAUACUUUAAUAUUGCUGACCUACAAAACAUUUACAAUAUAAACAUUCUUUUCCUAAACACGUGCAGUUUAAUUAAAGUAUCAGAAGUGCAGUGUGGAUGUCUUAUUUUCUGCACAAAAAAGCUAGUGGUAAUGUGGAGUGUGUACUGUGUCUGGAUUAAUAGAUGAAAGAUAGAUGUUAAAUCAUAAGUGUCCUUUCUGAA